GGCGAAAGGGCGAGGAAUACAUUUCUAACGUACCCCGAGGUCAGGGAUAGCCCACCGAAAGGUGGAUUAAUACCUGAUGACCCCGCGAUUUCAUAUGAUUUUGCGGGCAAAGAUUUAUUGCCUUGGGAUCGGGGAAUGUGCUAUCAGGUUGUUGGUAAGGUAACGGCUUACCAAGCCUAAGACGGCUAGCGGGUGUGAGAGCAUGACCCGCCGCAUCGGGACUGAGACACUGCCCGG
rnacentral:rRNA from 1 species